UACAUAGGGUGCGAGCGUUAAUCGGAAUUACUGGGCGUAAAGCGCGCGUAGGCGGCUUUGCAAGUCGGGCGUGAAAUCCCCAGGCUUAACCUGGGAACUGCAUUCGAGACUGCAUUGCUAGAGUAUGGGAGAGGGAAGUGGAAUUUCCGGUGUAGCGGUGAAAUGCGUAGAUAUCGGAAGGAACAUCAGUGGCGAAAGCGACUUCCUGGACCAAUACUGACGCUCAUGUGCGAAAGCGUGGGGAGCAAACAGG
rnacentral:rRNA from 1 species